CGACCCCAGGUCAGGCGGGACUACCCGCUGAGUUUAAGCAUAUAAAUAAGCGGAGGAGAAGAAACUUACAAGGAUUCCCCUAGUAACGGCGAGCGAACUGGGAGCAGCCCAGUUUGAGAAUCGGGCGGCUGUGCUGUCCGAAUUGUAGUCUGGAGAGGCGUCCUCAACAACGGACAGGGCCCAAGUCCCCUGGAAAGGGGUGCCUAGGAGGGUGAGAUCCCCGUCCGGCCCGGACCCUGUCGCCCCACGAGGCGCCGUCAACGAGUCGGGUUGUUUGGGAAUGCAGCCCAAAUCGGGCGGUAGACUCCGUCCAAGGCUAAAUACAGGCGAGAGACCGAUAGCAAACAAGUACCGCGAGGGAAAGAUGAAAAGGACGUUGAAAAGAGAGUCAAAGAGUGCUUGAAAUUGCCGGGAGGGAAGCGGAUGGGGGCCGGCGAUGCGCCCCGGCCGUAUGCGGAACGGCUCUUGCUGGUCCGCCGCUCGGCUCGGGGUGUGGACUGUUGUCGGCCGCGCCGGCGGCCAAAGCCCGGGGGCCCUAGGUG
rnacentral:ncRNA from 1 species